CAGUCGCCACGGGAAUACGUAGGUGGCAAGCGUUGUCCGGAAUUAUUGGGCGUAAAGCGCGCGCAGGUGGUUUAAUUAGUCUGAUGUGAAAGCCCACGGCUCAACCGUGGAGGGUCAUUGGAAACUGUUAAACUUGAGUGCAGGAGAGAAAAGUGGAAUUCCUAGUGUAGCGGUGAAAUGCGUAGAGAUUAGGAGGAACACCAGUGGCGGAGGCGGCUCUCUGGUCUGUAACUGACGCUGAGGAGCGAAAGCGUGGGGAGCGAACAGGAUUAGAUACCCCAGUAGUCCCUGUCUCUUAUAC
rnacentral:rRNA from 1 species